UGGGGAAUAUUGCACAAUGGGCGCAAGCCUGAUGCAGCCAUGCCGCGUGUAUGAAGAAGGCCUUCGGGUUGUAAAGUACUUUCAGUCGGGAGGAAGGUGGUAAGGUUAAUAACCUUAUCAAUUGACGUUACCGACAGAAGAAGCACCGGCUAACUCCGUGCCAGCAGCCGCGGUAAUACGGAGGGUGCAAGCGUUAAUCGGAAUUACUGGGCGGAAAGCGCACGCAGGCGGUUGAUUGAGUCAGAUGUGAAAUCCCCGGGCUUAACCCGGGAAUUGCAUCUGAUACUGGUCAGCUAGAGUCUUGUAGAGGGGGGUAGAAUUCCAUGUGUAGCGGUGAAAUGCGUAGAGAUGUGGAGGAAUACCGGUGGCGAAGGCGGCCCCCUGGACAAAGACUGACGCUCAGGUGCGAAAGCGUGGGGAGCAAACAGGA
rnacentral:rRNA from 1 species